AUGUAAUGUAGUUGUUCUGGUGUCUACUGCCUGUUCCUGUUGGCAUUUAAAUGUAAACACUGCCUUUUCAGAAAAAAUACUGCCUAGGGAAACCUUCAGUGGCAGUCACUCAGAUGGCCACUUGAGGUGCUUCCUGCAUCAGUGCUGCACAUUUUGCAACACUAACUUUCAGAAUGUUCCUCACAGAGAUGCAUUGUUGAAA